UACAGAGGUCCCAAGCGUUGUUCGGAUUCACUGGGCGUAAAGGGUGCGUAGGCGGUCGGGUAAGUCUGACGUGAAAUCUUCAAGCUUAACUUGGAAACUGCGUCGGAUACUACUCGGCUGGAGGAAUGGAGGGGAGACUGGAAUACUUGGUGUAGCAGUGAAAUGCGUAGAUAUCAAGUGGAACACCAGUGGCGAAGGCGAGUCUCUGGACAUUUCCUGACGCUGAGGCACGAAAGCCAGGGGAGCAAACGGG
rnacentral:rRNA from 1 species